AGGUCUCCGUAGGUGAACCUGCGGAGGGAUCAUUACACAAAUAUGAAGGCGGGCUGGAACCUCUCGGGGUUACAGCCUUGCUGAAUUAUUCACCCUUGUCUUUUGCGUACUUCUUGUUUCCUUGGUGGGUUCGCCCACCACUAGGACAAACAUAAACCUUUUGUAAUUGCAAUCAGCGUCAGUAACAAAUUAAUAAUUACAACUUUCAACAACGGAUCUCUUGGUUCUGGCAUCGAUGAAGAACGCAGCGAAAUGCGAUAAGUAGUGUGAAUUGCAGAAUUCAGUGAAUCAUCGAAUCUUUGAACGCACAUUGCGCCCUUUGGUAUUCCAAAGGGCAUGCCUGUUCGAGCGUCAUUUGUACCCUCAAGCUUUGCUUGGUGUUGGGCGUCUUGUCUCUAGCUUUGCUGGAGACUCGCCUUAAAGUAAUUGGCAGCCGGCCUACUGGUUUCGGAGCGCAGCACAAGUCGCACUCUCUAUCAGCAAAGGUCUAGCAUCCAUUAAGCCUUUUUUUCAACUUUUGACCUCGGAUCAGGUAGGGAUACCCGCUGACUUAA
rnacentral:rRNA from 1 species